rfam:Pan troglodytes isolate Yerkes chimp pedigree #C0471 (Clint) chromosome 14, whole genome shotgun sequence.
GCUGGGCGUGGUGGCGCAUGCCCGUAAUCCCAGCUACUUGGGAGGCUGAGGCAGGAGUAUCACUUGAACCCAGGAGGCAGAGACUGCAGUGAGCCGAGAUUGUGCCACUGCACUCCAGCCUAGGUGACAGAGUGAGACUCUGUCUCAA